CUGGCUUCGGUGCUGGGGAGCGGACCCCGGGGCGGGCCACCCCUCCGGCCUCUCUUGGGGCCCGCACUCUCGCUCCGGGCCCG
rnacentral:pre_miRNA from 1 species